UUUUCUCUUUCAUUAUUUAUCACUCUCUAACCAUCUCCAGCUGGGUGAGUAAACAGGCGCAUUGGCCCAUAAUGAGGAACAGACUGCUGCCGUGGGGCUGCCGGAGGGGCGCGGGGGGGAGCGUGAGAGCGUGUGUGCAUGGGUCCGUCUGUCUGUCUGUCUGUCUGCCCCAGAGAAGGAAGAGUGGGAGUCUGCGAUGGAGACGGCUUGGGGUGGGGGGCGCCUGGUCCCAGCGAGAGCGUCUCCACCUGGCACCCUGGCUGGGGUGGGGCUGGGUGCCCAGCCGGCUGCCGCCUCCCUACCCUGAGGGUGGCUUGGGGAUCGGGUGUGCUGGAUGCAGUCAGAAGGGGAGAGACGGCGUGGGUGGGAGAGGAUGUGAAAGGUACGAGCCAAGUGUGAGGCCUCGAAGGUGCGGGUCUCCGAGCAUGACCCCUGAGGGGUGGCCUCUGCCGGGGUGGGCGGGCCUGUGAAGGAGGGACUGUAAGACGGAGGCUGAAGGAAAGUGUGUGCCUGUGAGUGUGUGUAUGGGUGUGUGUGUGUGUGUGUGAUCCUGGUGGCAUACGUGGGGGGGUGUGAUUUUUGUGACUGUAAGAAAGUGUGAACAUGUGUCUGUGUGACUUUGAGAGCGUAUACAUCUGUGUGUCGCUCUGGGAAUAUGACAUGUACAUGGGAGAUUUUAUGGCCAUAAGGGGUUGUUAUGUGUCAAAUUGUAUUUCCCUCCAAAAAAUACAUUGACGUCCUAACCCCCGCCCCAGAGACUCAGAAUAUAAACUUGCUUGGAAACAGGGUCGGUGCAGAGGGAAGUGGCUCAGAUGAGGUGAGACUCAAGUCAGGUGGCCCCUCACGCAAUAACUAGCAACUUGAUCAAAAGGCGUCCAGAUAGGUGGUCUCGUCGUGGCUCAGCGGGUUAAGAAUCCGACCAGGAUUCAUGAGGACGCGGAUUCAAUCCCUGGUCUCGCUCAGUAGGUUAAGGAUCUGGUGUCUCCGUGAGCCGGGAUGUAGGUCGCAGACAUGGCUCAGAUCCCACGUUGCUGUGACUGUGACGUAGGCCAGCACUUGUAGCUCUGAUUCGACCCCUGGGAACCUCAUGUGCCUCUGGCCCUAAAGAGAAAAGAAAACACAGAAGCACAUGUCCACGUGCAGAUGGAGGCAGAGAACUGAAGUGAUGCAUAGAUCAGCCAAGGAAGGCCAGAGCUGUCAGAAACUGGCAAGAAGCAAAGAAAGGGAGUUCCCUUUGUGGUUUAGUGGUUCCAUGAGGAUAUGGGUUC
rnacentral:lncRNA from 1 species